GUAUAUGAGGUGAUUAAUUGGAGGGCAAAUCAAGUGCCAGCAGCCGCGGUAAUACUUGUUCCAAGAGUGUGUAUGAUGAUUGAUGCAGUUAAAAAGUCCGUAGUUUAUUUUUUUUAAGAAGCAAUAUGAGGUGUACUGUAUAGUUGGGAGAAAGAUGAAAUGCGACGACCCUGACUGGACGAACAGAAGCGAAAGCUGUACACUUGUAUGUAUUUUUUGAACAAGGACGUAAGCUGGAGGAGCGAAGAUGAUUAGAUACCAUUGUAGUUCCAGCAGUAAACUAUGCCGACGAUGUGAUAUGAAAAUGUUAAUUUGUAUUACAUAAUAGAAAUUUGAGUUUUUUGGCUCUGGGGAUAGUAUGAUCGCAAGAUUGAAAAUUAAAGAAAUUGACGGAAGAAUACCACAAGGAGUGGAUUGUGCGGCUUAAUUUGACUCAACGCGAGGUAACUUACCAAUAUUUUAUUAUUUUGAGAGAACGGUUUUUGUUUGAGAAUGAUAAUAGUGGUGCAUGGCCGUUUUCAAUGGAUGCUGUGAAGUUUUGAUUAAUUUCAACAAGACGUGAGACCCUUAUUAUUUAUUAAAGACAGACACAAUCAGUGUAGGAAGGAAAGGAUUAAAACAGGUCCGUUAUGCCCUCUGACAUUUUGGGCUGCACGCGCAAUACAAUAGAUAUA
rnacentral:rRNA from 1 species